rnacentral:rRNA from 2 species
ACAUGCGACCAUACCCACUGGAGAACUCGGGAUCCCGUCCGCUCUCCCAUCGAUAAACCAGUGAGGGCYGGAGUAGUAGUYGGGUCGGUGACGACCAGCGAAUGCCUGGUGUUGCAUGUU